rnacentral:rRNA from 1 species
GCCUAUGGCCUUGUGGCGCAAUGGAUACACCCGAUCCCUUGAUCUCAGAAGUUAAGCAACAUGCAGUCCGGUCAGUUCUUGGAUGGGAGACCACCCAAAGACGACCGGAUGCUGUAGCCG